rnacentral:rRNA from 1 species
CAAACGACUCUCGGCAACGGAUAUCUCGGCUCACGCAUCGAUGAAGAACGUAGCAAAAUGCGAUACUUGGUGUGAAUUGCAGAAUCCCGUGAACCAUCGAGUUUUUGAACGCAAGUUGCGCCCGAAGCCUUUUGGUUGAGGGCACGUCUGCCUGGGCGUCACAC